rnacentral:misc_RNA from 1 species
GAUGAAGAACGUAGCGAAAUGCGAUAAGUAAUGUGAAUUGCAGAAUUCAGUGAAUCAUCGAAUCUUUGAGCGCACAUUGCGCCCGCCAGUAUUCUGGCGGGCAUGCCUGUUCGAGCGUCAUUACAACCCUCAGGCCCCCGGGCCUGGCGUUGGGGAUCGGCGGAAGCCCCCUGUGGGCACACGCCGUCCCUCAAAUACAGUGGCGGUCCCGCCGCAGCUUCCAUUGCGUAGUAGCUAACACCUCGCAACUGGAGAGCGGCGCGGCCAUGCCGUAAAACACCCAACUUCUGAAUGUUGACCUCGAAUCAGGUAGGAAUACCCGCUGAACUUAAGCAUAUCAAUAAGCGGAGGA